UCCGGUUUGGCACCGGCAGUCUCCCUAGAGUUCCCGGCAUGGUCCGCCGUUGUCUAGCCCAGGUAAGGUUCUUCGCGUUGCGUCGAAUUGAACCACAUGCUCCACCGCUUGUGCGGGCCCCCGUCAAUUCCUUUGAGUUUUAAUCUUGCGACCGUACUCCCCAGGCGGGGCACUUAAUGCGUUAGCUGCGGCACCCAGGGGGUCAAUACCCCGGACACCUAGUGCCCAUAGUUUACGGCGUGGACUAC
rnacentral:misc_RNA from 1 species